CCAUGCCCCCGGCGCCCCCCGGCAUCGCCAGCGCCGCUGCUCGCCAGCGCCGCUGCUCGCCACCAUGGCUGUCGUCCUCCUUCUCCUCCAGAUUGGGACGGGGAGGUCCUGAUCUAGUCGACCCCGAGCCCCUCAUCCAAACGUCGCGCGGCGCACCUCGCUGUCCCAUUUCGCGCAGAUUAAAAUAUUUUGAAGUCUGUAAAACUUUUGAAUUUCGGCAUCAUUGUAUUUUGCACGACCCAUAUCUCGUGAACCCUGUAUCGGAUGGAGAUGAAUUGUAUAUGAGAG
rnacentral:lncRNA from 1 species